GAUGAACGCUGGCGGCGUGCCUAAUACAUGCAAGUCGAGCGAACGGACGAGAAGCUUGCUUCUCUGAUGUUAGCGGCGGACGGGUGAGUAACACGUGGAUAACCUACCUAUAAGACUGGGAUAACUUCGGGAAACCGGAGCUAAUACCGGAUAAUAUUUUGAACCGCAUGGUUCAAAAGUGAAAGACGGUCUUGCUGUCACUUAUAGAUGGAUCCGCGCUGCAUUAGCUAGUUGGUAAGGUAACGGCUUACCAAGGCAACGAUGCAUAGCCGACCUGAGAGGGUGAUCGGCCACACCGGAACUGAGACACGGUCCAGACUCCUACGGGAGGCAGCAGUAGGGAAUCUUCCGCAAUGGGCGAAAGCCUGACGGAGCAACGCCGCGUGAGUGAUGAAGGUCUUCGGAUCGUAAAACUCUGUUAUUAGGGAAGAACAUAUGUGUGAGUAACUGUGCACAUCUUGACGGUACCUAAUCAGAAAGCCACGGCUAACUACGUGCCAGCAGCCGCGGUAAUACGUAGGUGGCAAGCGUUAUCCGGAAUUAUUGGGCGUAAAGCGCGCGUAGGCGGUUUUUUAAGUCUGAUGCGAAAGCCCACGGCUCAACCGUGGAGGGUCAUUGGAAACUGGAAAACUUGAGUGCAGAAGAGGAAAGUGGAAUUCCAUGUGUAGCGGUGAAAUGCGCAGAGAUAUGGAGGAACACCAGUGGCGAAGGCGACUUUCUGGUCUGUAACUGACGCUGAUGUGCGAAAGCGUGGGGAUCAAACAGGAUUAGAUACCCUGGUAGUCCACGCCGUAAACGAUGAGUGCUAAGUGUUAGGGGGUUUCCGCCCCUUAGUGCUGCAGCUAGCGCAUUAAGCACUCCGCCUGGGGAGUACGACCGCAAGGUUGAAACUCAAAGGAAUUGACGGGGACCCGCACAAGCGGUGGAGCAUGUGGUUUAAUUCGAAGCAACGCGAAGAACCUUACCAAAUCUUGACAUCCUUUGACAACUCUAGAGAUAGAGCCUUCCCCUUCGGGGGACAAAGUGACAGGUGGUGCAUGGUUGUCGUCAGCUCGUGUCGUGAGAUGUUGGGUUAAGUCCCGCAACGAGCGCAACCCUUAAGCUUAGUUGCCAUCAUUAAGUUGGGCACUCUAAGUUGACUGCCGGUGACAAACCGGAGGAAGGUGGGGAUGACGUCAAAUCAUCAUGCCCCUUAUGAUUUGGGCUACACACGUGCUACAAUGGACAAUACAAAGGGCAGCGAAACCGCGAGGUCAAGCAAAUCCCAUAAAGUUGUUCUCAGUUCGGAUUGUAGUCUGCAACUCGACUACAUGAAGCUGGAAUCGCUAGUAAUCGUAGAUCAGCAUGCUACGGUGAAUACGUUCCCGGGUCU
rnacentral:rRNA from 1 species